rnacentral:rRNA from 1 species
UACGUAGGGGGCUAGCGUUAUCCGGAAUCAUUGGGCGUAAAGAGCGUGUAGGCGGCCCGGUAAGUCCGCUGUGAAAGUCGGGGGCUCAACCCUCGAAUGCCGGUGGAUACUGUCGGGCUAGAGUGCGGAAGGGGCAACUGGAAUUCUCGGUGUAGCGGUGAAAUGCGUAGAUAUCGAGAGGAACACCUGCGGCGAAGGCGGGUUGCUGGGCUGAUACUGACGCUGAGGCGCGAAAGCCAGGGGAGCGAACGGG